rnacentral:rRNA from 1 species
GAUGAACGCUGGCGGCGUGCCUAAUACAUGCAAUUCGAGCGAACAGAUGAGGAGCUUGCUCCUCUGACUUUAGCGGCGGACGGGUGAGUAACACGUGGAUAACCUACCUAUAAGACUGGGAUAACUUCGGGAAACCGGAGCUAAUACCGGAUAAUAUAUUGAACCGCAUGGUUCAAUAGUGAAAGACGGUUUUGCUGUCACUUAUAGAUGGAUCCGCGCCGCAUUAGCUAGUUGGUAAGGUAACGGCUUACCAAGGCAACGAUGCGUAGCCGACCUGAGAGGGUGAUCGGCCACACUGGAACUGAGACACGGUCCAGACUCCUACGGGAGGCAGCAGUAGGGAAUCUUCCGCAAUGGGCGAAAGCCUGACGGAGCAACGCCGCGUGAGUGAUGAAGGUCUUCGGAUCGUAAAACUCUGUUAUUAGGGAAGAACAAAUGUGUAAGUAACUAUGCACGUCUUGACGGUACCUAAUCAGAAAGCAACGGCUAACUACGUG